rnacentral:rRNA from 1 species
UACGUAGGGAGCAAGCGUUGUCCGGAUUUAUUGGGCGUAAAGAGCGUGUAGGCGGCUGGGUAGGUCCGUUGUGAAAACUCGAGGCUCAACCUCGAGACGCCGAUGGAAACCCCCCAGCUAGAGUCCGGAAGAGGAGAGUGGAAUUCCUGGUGUAGCGGUGAAAUGCGCAGAUAUCAGGAAGAACACCCGUGGCUAAGGCGGCUCUCUAGUACGGUACUGACGCUGAGACGCGAAAGCGUGGGGAGCGAACAGG